rnacentral:rRNA from 1 species
GUGUCAGCAGCCGCGGUAAUACGUAGGGUUCGAGCGUUAAUCGGAAUUACUGGGCGUAAAGCGUGCGCAGGCGGUUAUGUAAGACAGGUGUGAAAUCCCCGGGCUUAACCUGGGAACUGCACUUGUGACUGCAUAGCUUGAGUGCGGCAGAGGGGGAUGGAAUUCCGCGUGUAGCAGUGAAAUGCGUAGAUAUGCGGAGGAACACCGAUGGCGAAGGCAAUCCCCUGGGCCUGCACUGACGCUCAUGCACGAAAGCGUGGGGAGCAAACAGGAUUAGAUACCCUGGUAGUCCACGCCCUAAACGAUGUCAACUGGUUGUUGGACGGCUUGCUGUUCAGUAACGUAGCUAACGCGUGAAGUUGACCGCCUGGGGAGUACGGCCGCAAGGUUGAAACUUAAAGAAAUUGACGG